AUGGAGAAGUUUUGGUUGAAUUUCAGACGUCGAUGAGUUCACCAAUAACAGCCUAUGUGUCGUACUUGUCUGUUUAUAAGAAUGAGAGUGUGGUUGUUACGGGGCAUGAGAAUGGUGGGAUUUUGAUGCAUAGAAUUUGGGAGGUAGUAGUACCUGAUGGUGAUGACAGGACUUCUCUUCGUAUGGAAACUGUAGGAAAAUUUGCUUCACCGGAAAUCGAGGAAGGAGGGUCUUCGAUUUUAAGUUUAGAGGUGCAUCAUGUUGGAAGAAAUAGGUAUAUCUUGUCCACGGAUUCUGGUGGGAAACUCUGGGUUUUUAG
rnacentral:misc_RNA from 1 species